rnacentral:rRNA from 1 species
UACGUAGGUGGCAAGCGUCGUCCGGAAUUACUGGGCGUAAAGAGCUCGUAGGUGGUUUGUCGCGUUGUUCGUGAAAACUCACAGCUCAACUGUGGGCGUGCGGGCGAUACGGGCAGACUGGAGUACUGCAGGGGAGACUGGAAUUCCUGGUGUAGCGGUGGAAUGCGCAGAUAUCAGGAGGAACACCGGUGGCGAGGGCGGGUCUCUGGGCAGUAACUGACGCUGAGGAGCGAAAGCGUGGGGAGCGAACAGG